GCUCAUGGGGACACGCCAACCAUUAUAUCAGGAGGAUCCUUGCAUAUUACAGACUAUCAGAUGAUUGGUUGCAGUGUCGGAGGUUCCUAUAGAAAAUGCAUGGGCGCGUGUCUGGCUUGUUCUACGCUAUUUAUUACCGUGUUCUGGCUGCUCUUGGCGUUCCAGCAUAAUGCCAUUGACUGCUGAAUGAUUGCCCUGGGAACCAACGGGAAGAGAGUUCAACCCAAAGGACAAGGGGAGGAGUGAACUUUGCAAUCAAUCUUGCUGGAACCUGAGUCAGCUGACCAGGUUAUUAGGAGAGGAAUUGCUGAUGGGAAGCUUAACCCAAACGUCAGGUGAAGACCUGAAUGAGUUGCUCAGUUCAUCCACUGCUGAAUGUCGGCCAUUGAACACAGAAGCAAAAGACACCAUUCAGACAGGGAAGAAACAGUACAAGUGUUCUUUGUGCGGGAAGGGAUUUACCCGAUCUUACACUCUGCUGAGACACCAGCGAGUUCACACUGGGGAAAGGCCAUACACCUGUUCCAUAUGUGGGAAGGGCUUCACUUCCUCAUCCAACCUACAGACACACCAACUUGUUCACACUGAUGCAAGACCUUUUAAAUGCUCCCAGUGUAAGAAGAGCUUUAAAAGCAGGGCUCAUCUAUUGAAACACCGACAAACUCACACGGGGGAGAGACCUUUUACCUGUUCUGUGUGUGAGAAGGGAUUCAGUUCUUCAUCCAACUUACAGACAUCACCAACUUAUUCACACCAAUAUGAGACCUUUUAAAUGUUCUCAGUGUAAGAAGGGCUUUAAAAUAGCAGUGAUCUGCUGAAACACCAGCACACUCACAGUGGAGAGAGACCCUUCACAUGUUCUGAGUGUGGUAAAGGAUUCACAUCUUCAUCCAACCUCACUGCACACCAACUUGUUCACACUGAUAAGAGACCCUUUAAGUGCUUUGACUGUGUGAAGAGCUUUAAAAGCAAACAGGAACUACUUAAACAUCAACGGACUCAUGCUCUGGAAAGGCCAUUUACCUGCUCUCGAUGUGGGAAGGGAUUCGCUCGGUCAUCCAGCCAACUGGCUCACCAAUGUACCAGAACAGGGGAGAAGCCCUUCACCUGCUCUCUGUGUGGGAAGGGUUUCAAACGUUCCCUUCACCUCACUGCACACCAACUUGUUCACACCAAUCAGGGGCCAUUUCAAUUUCCAACUGUGACCAAAGUUUCAGCAACAGAAACGAUUUGCUGAUAUGGCACGCACUCAUGCUGGGGAAAGGCCAUUACCUGCCCC